ACCCAGACUCCUACGGGAGGCAGCAGUGGGGAAUAUUGCACAAUGGGGGAAACCCUGAUGCAGCGACGCCGCGUGAGCGAAGAAGUAUUUCGGUAUGUAAAGCUCUAUCAGCAGGGAAGAAAAUGACGGUACCUGAGUAAGAAGCUCCGGCUAAAUACGUGCCAGCAGCCGCGGUAAUACGUAUGGAGCAAGCGUUAUCCGGAUUUACUGGGCGUAAAGGGAGCGUAGGCGGCAAUACAAGUCGGAAGUGAAAUACCCGGGCUCAACCUGGGAACUGCUUUGGAAACUGUAUGGCUAGAGUGCUGGAGAGGUAAGCGGAAUUCCUAGUGUAGCGGUGAAAUGCGUAGAUAUUAGGAGGAACACCAGUGGCGAAGGCGGCUUACUGGACAGUAACUGACGUUGAGGCGCGAAAGCGUGGGGAGCAAACAGGAUUAGAUACCCGCGUACA
rnacentral:rRNA from 1 species